rnacentral:rRNA from 1 species
GCAGUAGCCGCGGUAACACGAAGGGUGCAAGCGUUAAUCGGAAUUACUGGGCGUAAAGCGUGCGUAGGCGGUUUGUUAAGUCUGCUGUGAAAUCCCCGGGCUCAACCUGGGAAUGGCAGUGGAUACUGGCAAGCUAGAGUGUGUCAGAGGAUGGUGGAAUUCCCGGUGUAGCGGUGAAAUGCGUAGAGAUCGGGAGGAACAUCAGUGGCGAAGGCGGCCAUCUGGGACAACACUGACGCUGAGGCACGAAAGCGUGGGGAGCAAACAGGAUUAGAUACCCCAGUAGUCCCUGUCUCUUAUA